GAUGAACGCUAGCGAUAGGCCUAACACAUGCAAGUCGAGGGGCAUCACGGAGUAGCAAUACUUUGGUGGCGACCGGCGCACGGGUGAGUAACGCGUAUGCAAUCUACCUACAACAGGGGGAUAACCCGGAGAAAUCCGGACUAAUACCGCAUAACACAGGGGUCCCGCAUGGGAAUAUUUGUUAAAGAUUUAUCGGUUGUAGAUGAGCAUGCGUUCCAUUAGGUAGUUGGUGAGGUAACGGCCCACCAAGCCUGCGAUGGAUAGGGGAACUGAGAGGUUUGUCCCCCACACUGGAACUGAGACACGGACCAGACUCCUACGGGAGGCAGCAGUGAGGAAUAUUGGCCAAUGGGCGAGAGCCUGAACCAGCCAAAUCGCGUGAAGGAAGACUGCCUUAUGGGUUGUAAACUUCUUUUGUACAGGAAUAAAAAGAGGGACGUGUCCUUCAUCGCAUGUACUGUACGAAUAAGCAUCGGCUAACUCCGUGCCAGCCGCCGCCGUAA
rnacentral:rRNA from 1 species